AGCGAACGCUGGCGGCAGGCCUAACACAUGCAAGUCGAACGGACCUUUCGGGGUUUGUGGCGGACGGGUGAGUAACACGUGGGAACGUGCCUUUAGGUUCGGAAUAGCUCCUGGAAACGGGUGGUAAUGCCGAAUGUGCCCUUCUGGGGAAAGAUUUAUCGCCUUUAGAGCGGCCCGCGUCUGAUUAGCUAGUUGGUUGAGGUAACGGCUCACCAAGGCGACGAUCAGUAGCUGGUCUGAGAGGAUGGCCAGACACAUUGGGACUGAGCCACGGCCCAAACUCCUACGGGAGGCAGCAGUGGGGAAUCGUGCGCAGUGGGCGAAAGCAUGACGCAGCCAUGCCGCGUGAAUGAUGAAGGUCGUAGGAUUGUAAAAUUCUUUCAACGGGGACGAUAAUGACGGUACCCGGAGAAGAAGCCCCGGCUAACUUCGUG
rnacentral:rRNA from 1 species